rnacentral:rRNA from 1 species
UACGUAGGUGGCGAGCGUUGUCCGGAUUUACUGGGCGUAAAGAGCGCGCAGGCGGUCGUUCAAGUCGGAUGUGAAAGCCCCCGGCUCAACUGGGGAGGGUCAUUCGAUACUGAUCGACUCGACGGCAGGAGAGGGAAGCGGAAUUCCCGGUGUAGUGGUGAAAUGCGUAGAUAUCGGGAGGAACACCAGUGGCGAAGGCGGCUUCCUGGCCUGUUCUUGACGCUGAGGCGCGAAAGCUAGGGGAGCAAACGGG